rnacentral:rRNA from 1 species
GCCCACUAGCUAGCCUAACAACCUCAAAGCAACAAACCCCAUUAAGUAACCCCAAAAAAACUAAAUAGAUUAAAACAAAUCAUUUUUCCUCUCUAGUAUGUGCGACAGAAAAAGAACACCAGCGCCAUAGAAAAAGUACCGCAAGGGAACGCUGAAAGAGAAAUGAAACAACUCAGUUAAGCAUAAAAAAGCAGAGAUU